AAUGAACGCUGGCGGCAGGCCUAAAACAUGCAAGUCGAACGCCCUAGCAAUAGGGAGUGGCGCACGGGUGAGUAACAUGUGGGAAUAUGCCUUUUGGUACGGAACAACGUUUGGAAACGAACGCUAAUACCGUAUGGUCCCUCCGGGGUAAAGAUUUAUCGCCAAAAGAUUAGCCCGCACUAGAUUAGCUAGUUGGUAAGGUAAUGGCUUACCAAGGCGACGAUCUAUAGCUGUUCUGAGAGGAAGAUCAGCCACACUGGGACUAAGACACGGCCCAGACUCCGACGGGAGGCAGCAGUUAGGAAUAUUGGACAAUGGGCGCAAGCCUGAUCCAGCCAUGCCGCGUGAGUGAUGAAGGCCUUCGGGUUGUAAAGCUCUUUAGCCGACGAAUAUAAUGACUGUAGUCGGAGAAUAAGCCCCGGCUAACUUCGUGCCAGCAGCCGCGGUAACAC
rnacentral:rRNA from 1 species